GACGAACGCUGGCGGCGUGCCUAACACAUGCAAGUGGAGCGACGAACCGGGGCUUGCCCCGGGGCAGAGCCGCGAACGGGUGAGUAACACGUGGGUUACCUGCCCCGAUGACCGGGACAACCCGUCGAAAGACGGGCUAAUACCGGAUGUGCCCCUUGGGGGAAAGGAAGCUUCGGCCUCCGCAUCGGGAUGGGCCCGCGGCGCAUUAGCUUGUUGGUGGGGUAAUGGCUUACCAAGGCGACGAUGCGUAGCUGGUCUGAGAGGACGAUCAGCCACACUGGGACUGAGACACGGCCCAGACUCCUACGGGAGGCAGCAGUGGGGAAUCUUGCACAAUGCGCGAAAGCGUGAUGCAGCAACGCCGCGUGCGGGAAGAAGGCCUUAGGGUUGUAAACCGCUUUCAGUUGGGACGAAGCUUCAGUGGUUAAUAGCUGUUUGGAGUGACGGUACCUUCAGAAGAAGCGCCGGCUAACUACGUGCCAGCAGCCGCAGUAACAC
rnacentral:rRNA from 1 species